rnacentral:rRNA from 1 species
UACGGAGGGUGCAAACGUUGCUCGGAAUCAUUGGGCGUAAAGCGCACGUAGGCGGCGCGUUAAGUCGGGUGUGAAAGCCCUGGGCUCAACCCAGGAAGUGCAUUCGAAACUGGCGCGCUUGAAUAUGGAAGAGGGUCGCGGAAUUCCCGGUGUAGAGGUGAAAUUCGUAGAUAUCGGGAGGAACACCAGUGGCGAAAGCGCGUGACUGGACCAAAACUGACACUCAUGGACGAAAGCUAGGGGAGCGAAAGGG